rfam:Myotis davidii contig7151, whole genome shotgun sequence.
AGCCGCGUGGCUCAGUGGUUGAGCGUCAACCCAGGAACCAGGAAGUCACUGGUUCUAUUCCGGUCAGGGCUG